UACGGAGGUGGCAAGCGUUACUCGGAUUCAUUGGGUGUAAAGGGUAUGUAGGCGGGCUAGUAAGUCAUGUGUGAAAUCCCUUGGCUUAACCAAGGAAUUGCGCCUGAAACUGCUAGUCUUGAGUUCGGAAGAGGAGAGUGGAAUUCCCGGUGUAAGGGUGAAAUCUGUAGAGAUCGGGAGGAACACCAGUGGCGAAGGCGGCUCUCUGGUCCGAAACUGACGCUGAGAUACGAAAGCUAGGGGAGCAAACAGGAUUAGAUACCCCCGUA
rnacentral:rRNA from 1 species